UCACUGAUGGAUGGACCCGCGGUGCAUUAGCUAGUUGGUGAGGUAACGGCUCACCAAGGCCACGAUGCAUAGCCGACCUGAGAGGGUGAUCGGCCACACUGGGACUGAGACACGGCCCAGACUCCUACGGGAGGCAGCAGUAGGGAAUCUUCGGCAAUGGACGAAAGUCUGACCGAGCAACGCCGCGUGAGUGAAGAAGGUUUUCGGAUCGUAAAACUCUGUUGUUAGAGAAGAACAAGGAUGAGAGUAGACGUUCAUCCCUUGACGGUAUCUAACCAGAAAGCCACGGCUAACUACGUGCCAGCAGCCGCGGUAAUACGUAGGUGGCAAGCGUUGUCCGGAUUUAUUGGGCGUAAAGCGAGCGCAGGCGGUUUCUUAAGUCUGAUGUGAAAGCCCCCGGCUCAACCGGGGAGGGUCAUUGGAAACUGGGAGACUUGAGUGCAGAAGAGGAGAGUGGAAUUCCAUGUGUAGCGGUGAAAUGCGUAGAUAUAUGGAGGAACACCAGUGGCGAAGGCGGCUCUCUGGUCUGUAACUGACGCUGAGGCUCGAAAGCGUGGGGAGCGAACAGGAUUAGAUACCCUGGUAGUCCACGCCGUAAACGAUGAGUGCUAAGUGUUGGAGGGUUUCCGCCCUUCA
rnacentral:rRNA from 1 species